rnacentral:rRNA from 1 species
UACAGGGGGGGCAAGCGUUGUUCGGAAUUACUGGGCGUAAAGGGCCAGUAGGCGGCCAACUAAGUCCGACGUGAAAUCCCCAAGCUUAACUUGGGAACUGCGUCGGAUACUGGAUGGCUUGAAUUCGGGAGAGGGAUGCAGAAUUCCAGGUGUAGCGGUGAAAUGCGUAGAUAUCGAGAGGAACACCAAUGGCGAAGGCAGCUCGCUGGGACGUGACUGACGCUGAGACGCGAAAGCGUGGGGAGCAAACAGG